AGGAAAAGAAACCAACAGGGAUUACCUCAGUAACGGCGAGUGAAGCGGUAACAGCUCAAAUUUGAAAUCUGGCUCUUUCAGGGUCCGAGUUGUAAUUUGUAGAAGAUGCUUCGGGUGUGGCUCCGGUCUAAGUUCCUUGGAACAGGACGUCAUAGAGGGUGAGAAUCCCGUAUGUGACUGGUUGCCUUCGCCCAUGUGAAGCUCUUUCGGCGAGUCGAGUUGUUUGGGAAUGCAGCUCUAAAUGGGAGGUAAAUUUCUUCUAAAGCUAAAUAUUGGCCAGAGACCGAUAGCGCACAAGUAGAGUGAUCGAAAAGAUGAAAAGCACUUUGGAAAGAGAGUUAAACAGUACGUGAAAUUGUUGAAAGGGAAGCGCUUGCAACCAGACUUGCCUGCCGUCGAUCAUCCUCCGUUCUCGGGGGUGCACUCGGCGGUGGUCAGGCCAGCAUCGGUUUCGGUGGUGGGAUAAAGGCCUUGGGAAUGUGGCUCCUCUCGGGGAGUGUUAUAGCCCUCGGUGCAAUGCCGCCUACCGGGACCGAGGACCGCGCUUCGGCUAGGAUGCUGGCGUAAUGGUUGUAAGCGACCCGUCUG
rnacentral:rRNA from 1 species